GGGCCCGCGUUCCAUUAGCUUGUUGGCGGGGUAAUGGCCCACCAAGGCGACGAUGGGUAGCCGACCUGAGAGGGUGAUCGGCCACACUGGGACUGGAACACGGCCCAGACUCCUACGGGAGGCAGCAGUGGGGAAUAUUGCGCAAUGGGCGAAAGCCUGACGCAGCGACGCCGCGUGAGGGAUGAAGGCCUUCGGGUCGUAAACCUCUGUCAGGAGGGAAGAACCGCCCAGGUGCUAAUCAGCCUGGGUCUGACGGUACCUCUAAAGGAAGCACCGGCUAACUCCGUGCCAGCAGCCGCGGUAAUACGGAGGGUGCGAGCGUUAAUCGGAAUCACUGGGCGUAAAGCGCACGUAGGCUGUUUGGUAAGUCAGGGGUGAAAUCUCGCGGCUCAACCGCGGAAUUGCCCUUGAUACUGCUGGACUUGAGUCCGGGAGAGGGUGGCGGAAUUCCAGGUGUAGGAGUGAAAUCCGUAGAUAUCUGGAGGAACAUCAGUGGCGAAGGCGGCCACCUGGACCGGUACUGACGCUGAGGUGUGAAAGCGUGGGGAGCAAACAGGAUUAGAUACCCUGGUAGUCCACGCUGUAAACGAUGAACACUAGAUGCCGGAG
rnacentral:rRNA from 1 species